rnacentral:tRNA from 1 species
GUCAGGAUGGCCGAGUGGUCUAAGGCGCCAGACUCAAGUUCUGGUUCCGAAUGGAGCGUGGGUUCGAAUCCCACUUCUGACACCA